UUUGAAAGUCACACACUAAGGUUUCAGUAUUUAUCAAUAUUUUAAAAUCAAUUGGUAGCAUUUUAAUUUAGUCUGCUAAACUACAAUAGCUUCAGAAGAAUAUUAAGAGACCUUCUUCAUCUUUGGGAGAAGUGCAGACUAGGUCACGACAGACUUCUUUUUCCAUUUCAACUUCAACCUCAAAGAAUGUAUCUACAAGUUCCUCAGCUUGGUCUUUCAUCUGAUCACCUUUCUCUGCUAUUCUUUGCUGAGCUUUUCUAAAAACUCGAAGAUGAGUGCCGAAGUCAUCAACAAGUCGUGUAGUGAAGUAAGGCUGCCAGUCUGUUUCCUUUGACCUGAUUUCCAGGAGAAACGAUUCAUCAUCACUUAGUGUGUAAUACCAGUACUGCACAUAGUCUCUCAGGGAAAACUGGAUCACCUGUUGCAAAGGCUCAUCAAUUAUAUUUGCACCUGUCAGUCUUCUGUCAAUCUUAAUAGGUCUGGCUUCACGUUUCAUUUCUUCUAUGCACUUAGGGAUACCAACUGAUGUACAAGGAAGAAAUGAAUGUUCACACUGCUCAAGGUACUUUUCUGAGUUGUUUUUUCCAAAUAAAAGAGUAACCACAAAACCCCCACCCACAAAGCAGAGGAUAUAAAACGCAAAGUAAAAUAUAGCGAAGGGUCCAAAAGUUAUUAGAAAAAGGACAACACCAAGACUUCCCCAUCCCCAUAUGGAGAGACUGGUCU
rnacentral:lncRNA from 1 species